rnacentral:rRNA from 1 species
UGGGGAAUUUUGGACAAUGGGCGAAAGCCUGAUCCAGCAAUGCCGCGUGUGUGAAGAAGGCCUUCGGGUUGUAAAGCACUUUUGUCCAGAAAGAAAUCCUUGGCUCUAAUACAGUCGGGGGAUGACGGUACCGGAAGAAUAAGCACCGGCUAACUACGUGCCAGCAGCCGCGGUAAUACGUAGGGUGCAAGCGUUAAUCGGAAUUACUGGGCGUAAAGCGUGCGCAGGCGGUUUGCUAAGACCGAUGUGAAAUCCCCGGGCUCAACCUGGGAACUGCAUUGGUGACUGGCAGGCUAGAGUAUGGCAGAGGGGGGUAGAAUUCCCACGUGUAGCAGGUGAAAUGGCGUAGAGAUGUGGAGGAAUACCGAUGGCGAAGGCAGCCCCCUGGGCCAAUACUGACGCUCAUGCACGAAAGCGUGGGGAGCAAACAGGAUUAGAUACCCUGGUAGUCCACGCCCCUAAACGAUGUCAACUAGUUGUUGGGGAUUCAUUUCCUUAGUAACGUAGCUAACGCGUGAAGUUGACCGCCUGGGGAGUACGGUCGCAAGNUUAAAACUCAAAUGAAUUGACGGGGGUCAUAGCUGUUUCCUG